rnacentral:rRNA from 1 species
UACGGAGGGUGCAAGCGUUGCUCGGAAUUAUUGGGCGUAAAGGGCAGGUAGGUGGUCUCAUUUGUCUGGGGUGAAAUCCUUGGGCUUAACUCAAGAAGUGCCCCAGAAACGGUGAGACUAGAGUACUGGAGAGGGUCGUGGAAUUCCCGGUGUAGCGGUGAAAUGCGUAGAGAUCGGGAGGAACACCAGAGGCGAAGGCGGCGACCUGGACAGUUACUGACACUCAACUGCGAAAGCGUGGGGAGCAAACAGG